GGAGCUUGUAUUAUAAUUAAUCUGAACAUGAGACGGAAUUACGUCCUGAUCCUGAAAACACGUGUACUUUACUUAAGGCAAUGGGACUACUCACGUAUUUACAGCAGUAGAAGAACACUAGUUAUAUGAAGAUCAGACUACUUGCACUUUCAACAGAUUGUGCACUUAAAGUACAGACCUAAAAAGAGUAAUUGGAAUGCUCAGGAUAGGCAGUAAUAGCGAGAGCCCAGGGAGUGGUGGGACUGCUCUUGCUGC